UACGGAGGGUGCAAGCGUUGUUCGGAUUUAUUGGGCGUAAAGCGCGUGUAGGCGGUCUCUUAAGUCUGAUGUGAAAGCCCUGGGCUCAACCCAGGAAGUGCUAUUGGAUUACUGGGGGACUUGAAUACGGGAGAGGGUAGUGGAAUUCCUAGUGUAGGAGUGAAAUCCGUAGAUAUUAGGAGGAACACCGGUGGCGAAGGCGGCUACCUGGACCGACACUGACGCUGAGGAGCGAAAGCCAGGGGAGCGAAACGGGA
rnacentral:rRNA from 1 species